UGCCACUCUGUAGAUAGAACUCGGGCUUUCAGAUAUCACUUUCUUCAGUUCUAACUUUCUUUCUUUGCAUUGUUUGGACUUUUUUCAUGUCUGCCGAUGCUGUCGUGACGCUGGCAGCCCACUGUGAAGUGUUGAGCAUUUGUAACUGGCACAGAACUGGGAUGUGGCAGCUGCCUUUGAAGAAGAGGUGACGGAACAGAACUGGGUCAGGAAAAUUCAUCACUACUCUAACCCUAACUGGAGUACAGUGGUACCUCCGGUUGCAAACGGGAUCCAUUCUGGAGGUCCAGCUGCAUCCCUAGGAAUUGGCAACUGGAGGACUGCUUCUGCACAUGCGCGCAAGGCAAAACCCUUUCGCAUCCCAAAGAUUACGUAUCCAGAGGGAUAUGUAAGUGGAGGAGAAAACAUCACACCAGAAAUACAACUUGCCUCCUCUUUUAAGUCCUGCAGAUGAGUGACAGCACCUGCCUGCAGCCUCUCCACCCUCAGCUCUUUCGCGGGAAGUAAUUUUGCUUUGGUAGCCAGGAGGAGGAAGGAAGACAAAGCAAGUGCCAGCCACCAUCACACAGACAGAUAAUAUGUGGCACCUCACUCAGUUGGCAGAGCAUGAGGCUUUUAAUCUC